rnacentral:misc_RNA from 1 species
GACCGGGUUUUAGUAUAUACGAGUUUUUUGAAAGAAAAAGAAGAAAUACCGCCCUCUUGAUAGAACAAGAGGGCGGUAUUUCUUCUUUUUCUAUUUCAGACUGUUUUAGAUAAACAAAUAUUUUUGAAUGAUCAAAAAGGAAUCCUUUUUUUUUCUUUAAUAAAUAAUUAAUAAAUUUAAUAAAUAAUUAAUAAAUAAAUAAAAGAAAAUUGGC